UCAUAGGUAGCUCAGUGGUAGAGCGAUGGUCUGAAAAACCAUAGGUCGGUGGUUCGAUUCCAUUCCUACCCA
rnacentral:tRNA from 1 species